rnacentral:rRNA from 1 species
AAUACAUCGGAAUCUACUCUGUCGUGGGGGAGUAACGUAGGGAAACUUACGCUAAUACCGCAUACGACCUACGGGUGAAAGCAGGGGAUCUUCGGACCUUGCGCGAUUGAAUGAGCCGAUGUCGGAUUAGCUAGUUGGCGGGGUAAAGGCCCACCAAGGCGACGAUCCGUAGCUGGUCUGAGAGGAUGAUCAGCCACACUGGAACUGAGACACGGUCCAGACUCCUACGGGAGGCAGCAGCU